rnacentral:rRNA from 1 species
GAUGAACGCUGGCGGCGUGCCUAAUACAUGCAAGUCGAGCGAACAGACGAGGAGCUUGCUCCUCUGACGUUAGCGGCGGGCGGGUGAGUAACACGUGGAUAACCUACCUAUAAGACUGGGAUAACUUCGGGAAACCGGAGCUAAUACCGGAUAAUAUAUUGAACCGCAUGGUUCAAUAGUGAAAGACGGUUUUGCUGUCACUUAUAGAUGGAUCCGCGCCACAUUAGCUAGUUGGUAAGGUAACGGCUUACCAAGGCAACGAUGCGUAGCCGACCUGAGAGGGUGAUCGGCCACACUGGAACUGAGACACGGUCCAGACUCCUACGGGAGGCAGCAGUAGGGAAUCUUCCGCAAUGGGCGAAAGCUUGACGGAGCAACGCCGCGUGAGUGAUGAAGGUCUUCGGAUCGUAAAACUCUGUUAUUAGGGAAGAACAAAUGUGUAAGUAACUAUGCACGUCUUGACGGUACCUAAUCAGAAAGCCACGGCUAACUACGUG